rnacentral:lncRNA from 1 species
UCGAGCUCCUUUGCCUUCUCGCUCAUCUCUCGCACCGUCUUGCUCUUGCGUCUGCGUUGCCUACAUCUUGCCCGUAUCUCAAGGUACUGGAGAUUUCCCUCUCUCAAUUCUGGUAUGUACUGUGAGCCUCGAUUUCUAAAUAGUUCCAUCCUUUUCCCCUAAUAUUUUUGGUUGUUGUGUCUGUUUGUCUUGCGUGCUGCGGAGGAAUGGGAACUUGAGUGAGUGUGUGUGUGUAUGGGGAAGGUUUCGUUUUUCUUUCAAGUUGCUCGAAGUUGAGAAGCGCUGAGGAUUAAGAUCUGCAUCUGCAAACUGAGGUUUAGGUUGUCAUCUGCUUAUCUAUUUGUUUGUAAAUUUCUUUCUCUCCCGUUGUAUGGUUCACUUUCUUUCCAACAGAAGGUGUGACAAGAGUCUGUCGAUUGUUAGGCCUAGUUUAGGCCAUGGGCUGUGGAUUGUAAGUUUUUGGUAAGUUAACAAGCUUCGCAACGAAUGCCUCCCCGUAUUCUCUUUCGUUUUGCAGAUUAUCUUCUAGAUACAUCACGGAUCAGACACCUGAGAAGUAUAUUUUACUCAUUCGUUCUCCUUGAUUGGGCCUUUCUUCUUGAAAGGGAUUUUGUGUGAUCCGUUGAAACUGAGCAUUAGGUCGGUGUAUCUGUACAUCGUGUGAUCACAUGCCAUUACAUUUCGUUACGUCUCUUUAGUAUGGUUUUAGAAAUUUGAACUGGCCCUGCAGAUCCUGAAUAUCGGAAUCGGGGGGCUUUUAAGCAUGUUUGGUUUGCCGUUGGUUCCAAAGUUGAUAGUGCUUUGUCUCCUCAGUCCUGCAGUGAAGUGAGAUAUUGUGGCUGAUCUGUGAUGUUUGUUUGCAGUUAAGCAGUUUCUUAUCACCAGUUCAAACGAUGGCUUCCACAAGCGUUUUGAGGUCCGUUGUAGUCAUCUUCGCAGUUGCGUCUAGUUUGGUAGCAAUGGCCAAUGCACAGGCUGCCUCUCCGUCACCUGCACCUGACAGUGCUGGUAACUUAUCGAUUGUGCCUUCUAUUGUAGCACCCGUAAUGGGGAUGGUUAUUACGUUCUUCGCGAGCCGCAUGCUUUGGUAAGCAUGCUGAAUGUCUGGCAUCUCGAAUGGGAAGUUACACCCAAGCUAUGGAGAAUAAUUUUGUAAUGUAAUUCAGGUUUCGGCAAAGGUCGGUGCCAUAGAAAUUGUUUUGUACGGCACAGGACCUAUGAAGCCAUGUUAGACCAAAUUUUUUGCUUGCUUCACAAGGCGUGUCAUUUGUGCUCGGUUCUUU